rnacentral:rRNA from 1 species
CAGGCCUAACACAUGCAAGUCGAGCGGUAACAGGGGGUGCUUGCACCCCGCUGACGAGCGGCGGACGGGUGAGUAAUGCAUAGGAAACUGCCCAGUAGUGGGGGAUAGCCCGGGGAAACCCGGAUUAAUACCGCGUACGCCCUUCGGGGGAAAGCAGGGGAUCUUCGGACCUUGCGCUAUUGGAUGUGCCUAUGUCGGAUUAGCUAGUUGGUGGGGUAAAGGCCUACCAAGGCGACGAUCCGUAGCUGGUCUGAGAGAAUGAUCAGCCACAUCGGGACUGAGACACGGCCCGAACUCCUACGGGAGGCAGCAGUGGGGAAUAUUGGACAAUGGGGGCAACCCUGAACCAGCCAUGCCGCGUGUGUGAAGAAGGCUUUCGGGUUGUAAAGCACUUUCAGUGAGGAGGAAAAGUUGGUCGUUAAUACCGGUCAGCCUUGACGUUACUCACAGAAGAAGCACCGGCUUACUCCGUGCCAGCAGCCGCGGUAAUACGGAGGGUGCAAGCGUUAAUCGGAAUUACUGGGCGUAAAGCGCGCGUAGGUGGUUUGAUAAGCGAGAUGUGAAAGCCCCGGGCUUAACCUGGGAACGGCAUUUCGAACUGUCAGCUAGAGUAUGGUAGAGGAGUGUGGAAUUUCCUGUGUAGCGGUGA